GGAAACAGCACCUGGAAGGGGAAAGCUACAAAUAUGUGCCAGUGGGGAAAGAAAACAACGAAAAAAGCCCCUUUAAUGUCAAGCAAUAAACAUUGUCUAUGGGGUAGUAUAGAAUGAUUUGGUAGCACUUGCAACAGCCAUCAUUUCUGAGAUUGAAGAGAUCCAUUGUUUGUUUUGUGUCAGUGUGAUCAAUGGUUUGUUUUUACAUUACAUCAACACAGUUUUUCUUCAAUAUGUUGCAGCACUGAAUCAGCUUGUUACAGUGCCUGAGCACAAUUCUGAAGAGAAAAAUGGCUGUUGGCCCAGCAGCAGGAACUAAUACUUUAUUUGUAUAUGACAUCAAUUAUUACAGUGGGUAGGUACCAUGAAAACAUAUUCUCCAGAAUCUAGCUGCUACCCUCUGCUUUGAGAGAGAUGUGGAACAGAGAAAAAACUCUCCUGGUAGCUGUCCCAAAUGAGGAGUUCUCUCUUUUUGCUACAUGCAAAUUGUUUCAGGGUUUUUUAUUGAAAUAAUGUAAAGGGUAAAGUCAACAGCAAAUGGAGCCUGAGCAGAGGAAAGAUCCUAUCAGAGGAUCAUAGAAAGCCAGAAUUUGAAAAGGACCUUAGACUGAAAAGGGCAUUUGAUCCAGCCCUAUUAAAAUCAAGGCCAAAUUAGAUAAUUGUCUUAAUUUGCAGCCAGUGCCAUCAUGUUGCUAUAAACCCAUCUAGUAGUUGAGAUCAAGGAAAAUACUGCUAGGUGGACAUCACACUGUGGAGGAGAACCCAAGCUGAAGCUGCUGCUUGUUGGUACACAGCUGCUGGAUGGCCCAUAGGCUCCAUACCUCCCUGAAGCAGUGCCUGGGGAGAGUGUCAGUUAGUACCUGUGUGACCAUAAGGAUUUUUCAGACAAACCCCACCCCUUGCUUGGUUCACUCAGUCAGUUGACCUUUGCAGUGUCAUACUGCCACAUGUUCCUUUUUCCUUGUGACACCAGCCAGUGUUACUCUGUGGAGAAGUAGCUCCCAGUGCAGCUCUUCAGUUGCUGUAAAACAUGGCAGUAGGCAAGGCCGGAGCACAGUGGUCACAGUACUUUGUUUCUCAAAGAGCCACGAACACCUGUAUCCCUGGGAAAGAACUCUAAGAAGAUUGCGCAUAAGGAAAAGUUUCUUGUGCUCUACCAUCAGAUGUUCCAGACUGUUCCCUGAAACAGUAUGUUGAGUAUUUUGAUAUCUUUUUAGAUUCUAAAUUGUUGUGAAUUAAACUUAUUUUCUUUCCUUUUGGUUGUUUCUGGGAAAUCUUCCUAAGCCUUUCAAUUCAUACUAUGCUGCAGAUGCCUUUUGCCUAAAUAUGAUCUUAUCUGCAGGAAAUUGCAAUUAUGUGUGAACAGAGGAUUGGACUUACGGUUUAUUAAACGUACAGAACUAGUUAAAGCAAUCUGGAAAUGAAUUUUAUAGGUAUGACUGUACCUUAUGAAAUAAUGUAUUCUUACAGAUUAAUUUAGGUACAUUGUCUUGUGGAAACCCCCCCCCUUGUUC
rnacentral:lncRNA from 1 species